AUUGAACGCUGGCGGCAGGCCUAACACAUGCAAGUCGAGCGGAUGACGGGAGCUUGCUCCUUGAUUCAGCGGCGGACGGGUGGGUAAUGCCUAGGAAUCUGCCUGGUAGUGGGGGACAACGUUUCGAAAGGAACGCUAAUACCGCAUACGUCCUACGGGAGAAAGCAGGGGACCUUCGGGCCUUGCGCUAUCAGAUGAGCCUAGGUCGGAUUAGCUAGUUGGUGGGGUAAUGGCUCACCAAGGCGACGAUCCGUAACUGGUCUGAGAGGAUGAUCAGGCACACUGGAAAUGAGACACGGUCCAGACUCCUACGGGAGGCAGCAGUGGGGAAUAUUGGACAAUGGGCGAAAGCCUGAUCCAGCCAUGCCGCGUGUGUGAAGAAGGUCUUCGGAUUGUAAAGCACUUUAAGUUGGGAGGAAGGGCAGUAAGUUAAUACCUUGCUGUUUUGACGUUACCGACAGAAUAAGCACCGGCUAACUCUGUGCCAGCCGCCGCGGUAA
rnacentral:rRNA from 1 species